rnacentral:rRNA from 1 species
UUCCGGUUGAUCCUGCCGGAGGCCAUUGCUAUCGGGGUCCGAUUUAGCCAUGCUAUUCGCACGGGUUCAGACCCGUGGCAAACAGCUCAGUAACACGUGGCCAAACUACCCUAUGGACGUGGACACCCUCGGGAAACUGAGGCUAAUCCACGAUACGGCUCUCACGCUGGAAUGCGGGGAGCCGGAAACGCUCCGGCGCCCUAGGAUGUGGCUGCGGUCGAUUAGGUAGACGGUGGGGUAACGGCCCACCGUGCCCAUAAUCGGUACGGGAUGUGAGAGCAAAUAGCCCGGAGAUGGUAUCUGAGACAAGAUACCAGGCCCUACGGGGCGCAGCAGGCGCGAAACCUUUACACUGCACGCCAGUGCGAUAAGGGGACCCCGAGUGCGAGGGCAUACAGUCCUCGCUUUUGUACACCGUAAGGAGGUGUACGAAUAAGGGCUGGGCAAGACCGGUGCCAGCCGCCGCGGUAAUACCGGCAGCCCGAGUGAUGGCCGCUGUUAUUGGGCCUAAAGCGUCCGUAGCCGGCCGAACAAGUCUGUCGGGAAAUCCAUCCGCCUAACGGAUGGGCGUCCGGCAGAAACUGUUCGGCUUGGGGGCCGGAAGAUCCGAGGGGUACGCCUGGGGUAGGAGUGAAAUCCUGUAAUCCUGGACGGACCGCCGGUGGCGAAAGCGCCUCGGAAGGACGGACCCGACGGUGAGGGACGAAAGCUGGGGUCUCGAACCGGAUUAGAUACCCGGGUAGUCCCAGCCGUAAACGAUGAUCGCUAGGUGUGGCACAGGCUACGAGCCUGUGCUGUGCCGUAGGGAAGCCGUGAAGCGAUCCGCCUGGGAAGUACGUCCGCAAGGAUGAAACUUAAAGGAAUUGGCGGG